CCGCGGUGGGGAGUGAAGCUUUCGGAGUGUAAACCCUUUCGACCCGGACGAAUGCCUCGCAAGAGGACUGACGGUACGGGUAUAAGAAGCCCGGCUAACUACGUGC
rnacentral:rRNA from 1 species